UACGUAGGGUGCGAGCGUUAAUCGGAAUUACUGGGCGUAAAGCGUGCGCAGGCGGUGAUGUAAGACAGGUGUGAAAUCCCCGGGCUUAACCUGGGAACUGCAUUUGUGACUGCAUCGCUGGAGUGCGGCAGAGGGGGAUGGAAUUCCGCGUGUAGCAGUGAAAUGCGUAGAUAUCAGGAGGAACACCAAUGGCGAAGGCAGCUCGCUGGAACGGUACUGACGCUGAGGCGCGAAAGCGUGGGGAGCAAACAGG
rnacentral:rRNA from 1 species